GCCUCGGUAGCGCAGCAGGCAGCGCGUCAGUCUCAUAAUCAAAAUCAUAGAGCGAUCUGAAGGUCGUGAGUUCGAUCCUCACCUGGGGCA